rnacentral:rRNA from 1 species
CGGCAGCACGGAGAGCUUGCUCUCUGGUGGCGAGUGGCGAACGGGUGAGUAAUAUAUCGGAACGUGUCCAAUAAUGGGGGAUAACGAGUCGAAAGAUUCGCUAAUACCGCAUACGCCCUACGGGGGAAAGCAGGGGAUCGUAAGACCUUGCGUUAAUGGAGCGGCCGAUAUCUGAUUAGCUUGUUGGUGAGGUAAAGGCUCACCAAGGCGACAAUCAGUAGCUGGUUUGAGAGAACGACCAGCCACACUGGAACUGAGACACGGUCCAGACUCCUACGGGAGGCAGCAGUGGGGAAUUUUGGACAAUGGGGGCAACCCUGAUCCAGCCAUUCCGCGUGAGUGAAGAAGGCCUUCGGGUUGUAAAGCUCUUUCGCAAGGGAAGAAAACUUAUGAUCGAAUAAAUCAUGAGGUUGACGGUACCUUGAUAAGAAGCACCGGCUAACUACGUGC